rnacentral:rRNA from 1 species
GUCUACGGCCAUGCCACACUAAAUGGGCUCGAUCUGGUCUGAUCUCAGAAACUAAGCAGGGUCGGGCCUGGUUAGUACUUGGAUGGGAGACCACCUAGGAAUACCAGGUGCUGUAGGCA